rnacentral:rRNA from 1 species
AUUGAACGCUGGCGGCAUGCCUUACACAUGCAAGUCGAACGGCAGCACGGGAGCAAUCCUGGUGGCGAGUGGCGAACGGGUGAGUAAUAUAUCGGAACGUGCCCAGUAGUGGGGGAUAACUGCUCGAAAGAGCAGCUAAUACCGCAUACGACCUGAGGGUGAAAGGGGGGGAUCGCAAGACCUCUCGCUAUUGGAGCGGCCGAUAUCAGAUUAGCUAGUUGGUGGGGUAAAGGCCUACCAAGGCAACGAUCUGUAGUUGGUCUGAGAGGACGACCAGCCACACUGGGACUGAGACACGGCCCAGACUCCUACGGGAGGCAGCAGUGGGGAAUUUUGGACAAUGGGCGCAAGCCUGAUCCAGCAAUGCCGCGUGCAGGAAGAAGGCCUUCGGGUUGUAAACUGCUUUUGUCAGGGAAGAAAUCCUCUAGGUUAAUACCCUUGGGGGGAUGACGGUACCUGAAGAAUAAGCACCGGCUAACUACGUGCCAGCCGCCGCCGUAA